AAAUUGAAGAGUUUGAUCAUGGCUCAGAUUGAACGCUGGCGGCAGGCCUAACACAUGCAAGUCGAACGGUAACAGGAAGCAGCUUGCUGCUUCGCUGACGAGUGGCGGACGGGUGAGUAAUGUCUGGGAAACUGCCUGAUGGAGGGGGAUAACUACUGGAAACGGUAGCUAAUACCGCAUAAUGUCGCAGGACCAAAGAGGGGGACCUUCGGGCCUCUUGCCAUCAGAU
rnacentral:rRNA from 1 species